GAAGUAUGAAAUCUUUGCAGCAUGAAGAGUUCUCCUGAGCAUGGACUGUAGUACAUGUGAGGAUAUUAGCAUGUUGGGGCUGGGAAUCAUCCUCAGGAACCACCAGUGGUAGCCUAUAACUGCACUGCCUCCAUUGGACACUGGUUCAUGCCAGCCCACGGUGAUGCUUUCCCGAGUAACAUUAGUGACCCAUGGUGUAGAUGGUGGUCCAGGUGUUGCUACAAAAGACAGGAAUCCCUUAGCGCUUCAAUGACAUAGUGUACAAUUCUGCUUCCACCGUCGUGUUCUGGCUUCAACCAGGUCAGGGAAACACUAUCUUUGGAUACACCUGUUACUCCAAGUUUUUCAGAUGAUAGCCGAUGACUUUGCUACCUCCAUCACUGACUGGCUCAUUCCAUUGUACUUCCAUGCUGUCCUUGGAGGAGAGUGUUACAAAUGGUGUGCCUGGUGGACCAGGAACUUUGAAUGGAUACUGGGCUACAACAGGCUCUGAAUUGAGGUUCAGACUGUACAGGUUCUCCUUUCCCAUACUGGUUUACAGCUGAGACCCGGAAGAGGUACUCAUUUCCUUGGAUAAGUUUGGUUGCCACAUGCCUGCAAGACUGAAUAUCUUCAGCAACCACUGUCCACAAAAGUCGGCUGGUCUCUCUCUUUUCAAGAACAUAGGACUUAAUCGGUGAGCCACCAUCUUCCAAUGGAGGUGUCCAUGUGACAGUUGGAGGAGGUUUUCCAGACACAUAUGCGAUGAUCCGGAUCACCCCUCCAGCAUGGACCACAAUUCUGUCUCUGACACUGGCAUCUAGCUGAAGCCAAUAUCCUGUCACAGGAGAGCCUCCAUCAUACUCUGGCUCUUCCCAAUUGACAGUCAUGGAGUUGCGAGUCACGCUGCUAACUGUUGGUUUAUCCGGUGCUCCAGGGACAGCUAAGAACAAAAAUCACAUUGAUCUAUAAGAAACCAUGAAAAACAACAGCAGUGUUGGUGACUUCCUCCCAUUCACUUUUCUUCCUGCUUGCAUCACGUUUGUCAAUGAUAUAAUGGGUAAUUUCACUGCCCCCAUUAUCUAGAGGGGCAUCCCAUGUCAAGUAGCAAGAUUCAGCUUUAAUGUCAGUAACAGCAAGAUUUCUUGGUGGUGAUGGACGAUCUGGGAAGGAACCAACACAGGAGAAUGAGAAGGCCAUUCUUAAAAAGGUACUGGAUUUCAUCUUGAUAGAAGAAAACGGGUCCCUUACCAUAUACUUCCACAUGAACAUUUCGGAACACUGAACCCAGGCGAUUGGAAGCAGUAACUGUGUAAGUGCCUUUGUCUUCCCGGACUGCUUUGGGAAUGCUAAGCUCCGUCUUUGCCUCACUUCGGGAUACUUCUUCCUUGGUUAUCUUAAGUGCAUCAGUGGGUUUUUCAAUCACAGUUUCGUUCUUGGACCACUCAAUCUUAGGCAUUGGAAGGCCUGUCACAUCUGCAGGGAUGUUAACAGGCUCUCCUGCCUUAACUUUGAUAGUGUCUCCUCGAACAGACAAGCGCAACUUAAUAGUUGGAGGCACUGUAAAGAGAAAGGAAAGAAAAAAAAUGCAUAGUCCUAAGUAUAUUUGCUCAACUUAUGAAGAUAAAGGCCGCACUGUAAAAUGCACUAAAAUCAUGCACAGAUUCCACACCUUCGUCAUCCUGUAUGACCACAUUAAGAGGCAGAGAUGGUUCACUUUCGCCAAUUUCAUUGACAGCUUUGACACGGAAUUCAUACAUUUGGUGUUCAUCAAGAUUUUCAACCAGGAAAGAUGUGGUUGGGCAGAGUCUCUUGUUAACUCUUUCAAAGUCAGGUUUGUCGUGACGCCGUUUUUCAAUGAUAUAACCUUGGAUUGGGCUGCCGCCAUUAUUGCGGGGCUCUUUCCAGUCAAGGGUGAUAGUGGAUUUUGUCCUUUCUGUGUAUGUGAGCCUCUCGGGAGAUGUUGGAGGACCUUUAACCAGAGGCAAGUUGAAAUGACAAGCAUGAAAUAAAUAUUCAUAUAGGAAAUAGUAUUUCACUUUAAUUAUGUGAGAAAUAAGUUUCUGUUUGGCAUAACCUUACAUCCAUCUUUAAAAUCCUUCCAAAAACAUAUCAGUUACCAGAAUUAUAGGCAUUUAUACAGGCAGAAUUUUUCUUAGAGUAAAAAUUAUUGAUUAAAAAUAAAUCAAAGGGAAUGUAGACU